rnacentral:rRNA from 1 species
UACGUAGGGGGCAAGCGUUAUCCGGAGUUACUGGGUGUAAAGGGAGCGUAGACGGCUAGUCAAGUCAGAAGUGAAAGCCCAGGGCUCAACCUUGGGACUGCUUUUGAAACUGAGUAGCUAGAGUGCAGGAGAGGUAAGCGGAAUUCCUAGUGUAGCGGUGAAAUGCGUAGAUAUUAGGAGGAACACCGGUGGCGAAGGCGGCUUUCUGGACAGAAACUGACAUUGAGGCACGAAAGCGUGGGGAGCAAACAGG